UCUGGGGCCCAGGCAGGAAAAAUGAGGUCUCAGAAUAACUCCCUCGAGAGCCCCGUUCCUCUUUCAUCACUGCACAGACCCAGAAGUCCCCGCUGUCCUGCCUGACACCUGCCAUGACUGCCAGUCUCCUGGGCUGUGUGGCCUUUUGCCUCCUGUGGGCAGGUUCAGUGACUGCUGGUGUCACCCAGACCCCAAGAUUCCAGAUCCUGAAGACAGGACAGAACAUGACGCUGAUGUGCACCCAGGAUACGAACCAUGACUCCAUGUACUGGUAUCGACAAGACCCUGGGCUGGGGCUGAGGCUGAUCCAUUACUCAGUUGCUGCUGGUACCACUGCCAGGGGAGAUAUCCCUGAAGGCUACAAUGUCUCUAGAUCAAGUACAGAGACCUUCUCCCUCACGAUGGAGUCGGCUACCCCCUCCCAGACAUCUGCGUACUUCUGUGCCAGCAGUGAAUACACAGCGCUACACGGCAGCCUCCUCGCUACACAUAAAGGCAGGGGAGGCUCCGCAUUCCCAGAACUCAGCGAUGCCCUCGGCAGGUUCUCAGUACCAGGACCCUGGAGCCCCGAGGGGCCCGUGCAGUGCGAGCCUGGGUCUGUGCCAGCCCUCUGCCUCUUCUGGAAUCACCUCAUCCCACCCUGUUGCUCAGACGAGCAGAUGCUGCUCCCUCCAUGA